CCUACGGGAGGCAGCAGUAGGGAAUCUUCCACAAUGGGCGCAAGCCUGAUGGAGCAACGCCGCGUGGGUGAAGAAGGUCUUCGGAUCGUAAAACCCUGUUGUUAGAGAAGAAAGUGCGUGAGAGUACCUGUUCCCGUUUCGACGGUAUCUAACCAGAAAGCCACGGCGAACUACGUGCCAGCAGCCGCGGUAAUGCUUAGGUGGCAUGCAUUAUCCGGAUUUAUUGGGCGUAAAGGGAACGCAGGCGGUCUGUUAAGUAUGAUGUGAAAGCCUUCGGCUUAACCGGAGUAGUGCAUUGGAAACUGGGAGACUUGAGUGCAGAAGAGGAGAGUGGAA
rnacentral:rRNA from 1 species